CCUGAAGAUGCAAUGGGAUGGAAUAAGACUCAUUCAAGAGAAGAAGCACAAAAAAUUCAAGACUCGGUAAGACUGGGCAAAAUUAGUCCUUUUAAAUCUUUGCUCCAUUCUCGUUACACGAUAAUGAGCAAAGAGGGGCAGUUGUAAUAGCCCAAUUUUACCCAGGCACAAAUCAGACAAAAAAAACAAAGAAAAAAUAAAUAAAAAUCUCAAAUAUUAGCAGUCCAUCAGAUCCAAAUUAAAAGCCCAAAAAAUAAUAAACCCUAAGGCCCAACAAGCCCACAACCUAAACAGAAAAACAAAGAAAACCCUAGCCCCGAGCCUGUUGCCGCCGUACCUAGCCCCUGACAACUCUGCCACCACUACCUGCAAGGAAAUAUGGACACCUGCAACGCGCAACAAACACGUGAGAAAAAAAAACAGAGAAAAAAAUAAAAAAAAAUAAAGACCAA
rnacentral:lncRNA from 1 species